GUUGGUGAGGUAACGGCUCACCAAGGCGACGAUCCCUAGCUGGUCUGAGAGGAUGACCAGCCACACUGGAACUGAGACACGGUCCAGACUCCUACGGGAGGCAGCAGUGGGGAAUAUUGCACAAUGGGCGCAAGCCUGAUGCAGCCAUGCCGCGUGUAUGAAGAAGGCCUUCGGGUUGUAAAGUACUUUCAGCGGGGAGGAAGGUGUUGUGGUUAAUAACCGCAGCAAUUGACGUUACCCGCAGAAGAAGCACCGGCUAACUCCGUGCCAGCAGCCGCGGUAAU
rnacentral:rRNA from 1 species